UAAAGAAACCCUAAUUUCAUCACUCGAUCCAGCUAAGCUUCUUCAACCGCAGCUUUGUGCGAAUCUGAUCAGUCGCUCUCUCUCGUUUCCUCUCCUUCUCGCACUCUCUCUCGUUUCCUCUCCUGAUCUCGCACUCUCUCUCAGGGAUCACUCUCCAGUUCUAUCGGCUCAUCUCUGACCAAGCCCACAAGAGUCGACGACAACAGACGACUCGAAGAAGACGACUCCAACUCCCCCACUCGCAGACGAUGAUGGCGCAGCUUCUCCCCUACUUUUGGUUAUUCUGCUUGAUUGGGUUGGGAGAUUUUUCUUUACUGUUCUAUGGGUUUUCAAUAGAACAACCCCAGGUCCGACACUUCUCGUUGAUUCUCUACCACAAUCAACUCUUUCUGCCUAAACAACAAAAUCUCUCAGAAUCGCCAUCUACCUCUCUUGGGCCACCCCAAUCCAGAAUCAAACACAACCCAGAUGGUUUAAGAGAUAAACAAAUUUAAGCUUCUAAGGCAGAGCAUACAAAAAAGAGGAAUUGGUCGAGGAGUAGUGAUGACGAUAAUGAUACUGAUAACGAGAAAAGCAAAGAAAAGAGGAAAAAAGGAAAGAAAGCUUCAGCUUCGGUCUCUGAUCAUAAAGUCGACGAUGACGAUCACUUUGAUGAAUAUCUUGAAGGAAUGUUUCCUUAAACAGCUAACAUAAUUAACUGGCAGCUACAACACCCUGAUCAAUCUCCCUCCUAUAAACUUAAGUCGAAAAUUAUGCUCUUCUGGGCGACGGGUGCAAAUGAAUUGUCAAAAGUAGCUUUGCCAUUUUCAAGCAGAAAGGUUUUGAUGUGGAAAAUUCUUUCCUUUAUUGUUGCUUUGUAAGUAAUUAAUUUCUCAUGGUAGUUGGCUUGAAACUUUGGUCUCUACACUCUAGAGGCUGAUAGUAUAAUCAAUAAUUGGAAAAUAUUUGGUGGUUUUUGGGCAUUAGAAUAAAUGCAAAAGGUCAUCUUGAUGUGUCAUAUGCUACCUAUAUUGUGAAUAUAUAUAUAUGUAUGUAUAUAUAUAUAUAUUAUGGUAUGUACAUUAGCAAAAAUCAUAGACUUAUUCAAACUAAUAGUUGAAGUGAUGUGAUGAUACAUUUUAUGAUUAUACCUUCUUUAUUUAGUGAUGUGUUAAAUGUAUUUCCAUAAUCAUGAAUGUACUGCAGAAAUUGAUUUUUACUUCAAAAAAAAAAAGAAGCUAGUGUAAUUAUACACUUGAAGAAACUUAAUAAUUGGGUGUGUCUUGUUAUCUCUUAGAAUUAUACAAUGCUGAAUUAUUUUAAUAUUGCUUUCUGAUGAAUGAUUCUAAUUCUCUCUUUUACGACAGAUUAAAAGUGUCUGAUGUUCCCUUAUAUUGAUAUAGUAAACAAAUUUAAUUACUAUAUCUUUUAUAAUUUAUUUUUGUGAUUUCAGUUAUAUUUCUGGUUUGAAAUUAUUCAUAAUAUGCUUGGUUCAAUAUUUUACCAUGUUUCUUUUUUUUCUUGAUGGCAGUGAUAUAUUUGGUGCUAUAUGGAUUGUGAUGUUUUCUUUCUUUCACUUGGAUUGGUACUCUCAAAGAAAAAAGAUUGGUAGUUUCUGUCAAAGGAGCAAAGGAAGCUAUUUGCUUAAUUGAGAAUUUCUAAGAAAGGGAAAAUUAUAUCUGUUGCUUCUUGGAACGACAGCUCUCAGUCUGGUAACAACGCCACUGCUCUUCAAGUUGAUUCCUGCCGUUGUUCAUCUUGGGGUCUUAUUGCGGUGGUUUUCUCCAGAUAGCCCGAGUGAGAUUGGAUAUAUAUAAAGGGGAUAAUCUUUGGUCAGACAGUGCUAAGCGUAUUGCUAUCUUGGUCCACGGCUCUCAUGAUUCAUGAUAUUAAACAUAAAAAUAUGAAAUGGUCAAGGAACGGACUGCGAAUGCCAACGAUUUCGUCAACGGUGGAUCUCAUGUGAUGGAAUAUGGGAGUAGAAGUAUAAGAGCAGAGAAGCUCUAUCUCUACCAAAAGGUUUUGAUCCUGCCACUGUUAACUUCCCACCCAACAAUAACAAACUACACAUGGCUAUGGAAGUUGUGAACCAAAGAGAUGCAGCUAUACUUCUAGAUUUGCUCAUGUGUGCACUUAAAAAUGUGACUCAAUAUUUAUGAAUUGAUGCAUGUACAAAUUUAAUAACUUUAACCAUUUGUUGUUUUUUUUUAAAAAAUAGUUUGUUGUACGUACUUAAAGAUUGUACUAUAAUAUAUAUUUCAUUAUAUAAAGAAAAAAGAAAUUAUUACCAUUA